CAGUCGCCACGGUAAUACGGAGGGUGCAAGCGUUAAUCGGAAUUACUGGGCGUAAAGCGCACGCAGGCGGUCUGACAAGUCAGAUGUGAAAUCCCCGGGCUUAACCUGGGAACUGCAUUUGAAACUGUCAGGCUGGAGUCUUGUAGAGGGGGGUAGAAUUCCAGGUGUAGCGGUGAAAUGCGUAGAGAUCUGGAGGAAUACCGGUGGCGAAGGCGGCCCCCUGGACAAAGACUGACGCUCAGGUGCGAAAGCGUGGGGAGCAAACAGGAUUAGAUACCCCAGUAGUCCCUGUCUCUUAUAC
rnacentral:rRNA from 1 species